rnacentral:SRP_RNA from 1 species
UGCGGAGCGGCGGCGCAGGCCGUCGAACCCCGCCAGGCCCGGAAGGGAGCAACGGUAAGACGUCCUCUGCGGGCGCCGUUUCUGGAGC